rnacentral:rRNA from 1 species
UACGUAGGUGACAAGCGUUGUCCGGAUUUACUGGGCGUAAAGAGCGCGCAGGCGGUCGAUCAAGUCGAGCGUGAAAGCCCCCGGCUCAACUUGGGAGGGUCAUUCGAUACUGAUCGACUCGAAGGCAGGAGAGGGUAGUGGAAUUCCCGGUGUAGUGGUGAAAUGCGUAGAUAUCGGGAGGAACACCAGUGGCGAAGGCGACUACCUGGACUGUUCUUGACGCUGAGGCGCGAAAGCUAGGGGAGCAAACGGG